AGUUGAUUGAUCUGAGAGUGAUGAUCAGUUUUACUCUUUCCCGUCCGUCUACUUGAGAAUUUUUAAAAAAUCAUUAUACCAAGUUUCCAAUUUCCUUACAAUGGGGAUGACAUUUUUCUUUGCAGUGAGAAAUUUCAAGUCAUUAAGACCUCAAAAGUCUGUUGUAAGGAAUAAUUAUCAAGCCGUUAUGGAGCCAUCUUGGAGGCUACUCACCCCUCCGGUAAGCUUAGAUGUAAUCCAACGCAACUCAGAUCAACAAAGCCUAUCCCAACUACUUGGGAGGGUUCCCAAUCUAAUUGGAGAUAGUUGAACAUGCUUGUGGAUUGGCAACUCUGCAAAUUGGGGAAUACUUUUCCAAUGUAUCAAACGGAAUUGAUUCCUAUAGUAUUAGAGAGCCACUUGGUGUUUGUUGUGGGAUUUGCUACUUUGACUUUCCAGCUAUGAUCCCUUCAUGGGAUCUGCCUCAGAGCAAUAUUCUCUAUUGCAUUCAUUGGGGAGAAAAUUACAAGCUUCCAGUAAAAUUUUCAAUUGCUGGUAGACGGUUCAAGUAACCACUGACCAUC